rnacentral:miRNA from 1 species
UAGAUAUAGUGGAUUUUCGAU